rnacentral:rRNA from 1 species
AAUGAACGUUGGCGGCGUGGAUUAGGCAUGCAAGUCGAGCGCGAACCGUAGCAAUACGGUGAAAGCGGCGUAAGGGACAGUAAUGCGUAGAUACCUACCCUCUGGUUCAGGAUAGCUGCGGGAAACUGCAGGUAAUACUGAAUAAAGUCUCCGGACCAAAGGUGUGAUUCCACCGGAGGAUGGGUCUGCGUCCUAUUAGCUUGUUGGUGGGGUAACGGCCUACCAAGGCAAUGAUGGGUAGCGGGUGUGAGAGCACGACCCGCGUCACUGGGACUGAGACACUGCCCAGACACCUACGGGUGGCUG